UACGUAGGGGGCAAGCGUUGUCCGGAUUUAUUGGGCGUAAAGAGCGUGUAGGCGGUCAGGUAGGUCCGUUGUGAAAACUCGAGGCUCAACCUCGAGACGCCGAUGGAAACCAUCUGACUAGAGUCCGGAAGAGGAGAGUGGAAUUCCUGGUGUAGCGGUGAAAUGCGUAGAGAUCCGGAGGAACACCAAAGGCGAAGGCAGUGUCCUGGGGAGUACCUGACGCUCAGGUGCGAAAGCCAGGGGAGCGAACGGG
rnacentral:rRNA from 1 species